GGGGGGAAAGAAGAGAGGAAGCGAUCUUGGCUGCAGUUGUCGAGCACAUAGCUAGGUAAGGAUGGCUCGUCAUUGAUACAGCGAAGCACCCUUGCUGAGAGCAAAACUAAAACAAAAGAGAAAGGGAUCAAAAAAGAGGAAUUGAGCAGGAGGGCUUCGCAAAAAAAGGCACAGGAAAAAAAAACAAGACCAAAAAAAUGAUGACCAGUGCUGGUGUGGUCUCUCCGCUAGUAAGAGAAAUGAUGAAUGCUGGUUCAUCAAGCAUGCCAGUGCACGUUUUACUGGAAAGAUUUACACAGUCAUUUGUGCAGAGGCGUCGCGCUAGAGAGGAGCAAGAGAAUAUUCAAGAGCUUGCGGCAGUUGAGGCUAGCAUAAAUUCGGCGAGUCAUUCAGCUAAUAUUGCUUUUGGCAUGGCGGAGACAGGGGCUUUCGCGGGAACAGAUCCUCAUGAGCAUAAAGAACCUGCACUGUUUGAUUUAAACGAGG